UCUAUUUUCAUUAUUACCAUUAUAAAUAUCGUUUAAACUAAAGCAAGGUUGGGCCUGGUUAGUACUUGGAUGGGAGACCAAUGGGAAUACCAGGUGCAACAGCG
rnacentral:rRNA from 1 species